rnacentral:lncRNA from 1 species
UUUAAUGAAAAUGAAAAAAACAUUCAGUAUUAACAUUUCAAUUUAAUUUUUUCUGUUUUUCUAGUUUUACCCCUCUAUUACUAAUACCUUCCAUCCUCACAUUUCACUCAGAUACAUCAAACAUGUCCCUGUCAUUUAUCCUUCCUUCUAAAAACUUCACCUCUCCAAAAUCAUCAUCAUCUCUGGCGAUCAACGUUGGAUUUUUAAGGGAAGAAUUCGUAUGUGGUUAAGGUAACGUCGUUCCUCUUCCUUUUCUUUUUCUCAGUUUAUUUUAACCCAUUUUUUGGUCCGUUUUCAUUUGAUGCUUGCU